AGCGCCAGGGAAUUACGAGCAAUGCUUAAAACCCAAAGGAUUUGACGGUAUCCCAUCCACCUAGAGGAGCUUGUUCUAUAAUCGAUACCCCCCGCUACACCCAACCACUCCUAGCCCAUCAGCCUGUAUACUUCGGUCGAAAGCUUACCAUGUGAAUGUUCUUAGUGAGCUUAAUGUCCCCGUCAAAACGUCAGGUCAAGGUGCAGCUCAUGGAGCGGAAAGCAAUGGGCUACAAUUUCUAAUCUAGAACAUACGAAAAACUAGGUGAAACCCUAGUCAUGAAGGCGGAUUUAGCAGUAAAAAGAAAAUAGAGUGUUCUUUUUAACCCGGCCCUGGGAUGUGUACACACCGCCCGUCACCCUCUUCGACUGUAUUUAACAAUGUUCUAUAACUUCCCCCCACAUUUUAGAAGAGGCAAGUCGUAACACGGUAAGUGUACUGGAAAGUGCACUUGGCUAAUAC
rnacentral:rRNA from 1 species